rnacentral:rRNA from 1 species
CACGCUGUAAACGAUGAAUGCUAGGUGUAGGUGUGGAUACACAUCUGUGCCGGAGUAAACACAAUAAGCAUUCCACCUGGGGAGUACGGCCGCAAGGUUGAAACUCAAAGGAAUUGACGGGAGCCCGCACAAGCAGUGGAGUAUGUGGUUUAAUUCGACGCAACGCGAAGAACCUUACCAGGACUUGACAUCCUGAGGAGCCGGCGUAAUGGCCGGUGUGCCCUUCGGGGAACUCAGAGACAGGUGG